UGGGUUCCAACCAACGGAAUCCGCGCCGUCGCUAACGCAUUAAGUGCCCCGCCUGGGGAGUACGGCCGCAAGGUUAAGACUCAAAGGAAUUGACGGGGGCCCGCACAAGCAGCGGAGCGUGUUGCUUAAUUCGAUGCUACGCGAAGAACCUUACCUGGGUUUGACAUGUACGGAAAAACCACAGAGAUGUGGUGUCCUUCGGGGCCGUACACAGGUGGUGCAUGGCUGUCGUCGGCUCGUGUCGUGAGAUGUUGGGUUAAGUCCCGCAACGAGCGCAACCCUUAUUCUAUGUUGCCAGCGGGUAAUGCCGGGGACUCGUGGAAGACUGCCGGGGUCAACUCGGAGGAAGGUGGGGACGACGUCAAGUCAUCAUGCCCCUUACGUCCAGGGCUGCAAACACGCUACAAUGGCCGGUACAAAGGGCUGCAAACCCGCGAGGGCAAGCGAAUCCCACAAAGCCGGUCUCAGUUCGGAUUGGAGGCUGCAACACGCCUCCAUGAAGCUGGAGUUGCUAGUAAUCCCGGAUCAGCACGCCGGGGUGAAUACGUUCCCGGGCCCUGUACACACCGCCCGUCACACCACGAAAGUCGGCAACACCCGAAGCCG
rnacentral:rRNA from 1 species